rnacentral:rRNA from 1 species
UAGCGGAGGGUGCAAGCGUUACUCCGGAUUUUACUGGGGUUUAAAGGGGUGCGUAGGUGGGUAGGAAAGUCAGUGGUGAAAUCUCCGGGCUUAACCCGGAAACUGCCAUUGAUACUAUUUAUCUUGAAUACUUUGGAGGUAAGCGGAAUAUGUCAUGUAGCGGUGAAAUGCUUAGAUAUGACAUAGAACACCAAUUGCGCAGGCAGCUUACUACACAGUGAUUGACACUGAGGCACGAAAGCGUGGGGAUCAAACAGGAGUUAGAAACCCU